rnacentral:rRNA from 1 species
AUGACUCAGCCUGAAUGGCAGCUUGCGAUGGCCGAGGAGCUUGCGGCGCUUGAGCGCAAUGGCAUGUGGGAUCUGGUUUCUCCUCCUUCUGGUGUUCGUCCCAUCACGUGCAAGUGGGUCUAUAAGAUUAAGACUCGCUUCGAUGGUUCUCUUGAGCGUUACAAAGCUCGCCUUGUGGCUCGUGGCUUUCAGCAGGAACAGGGGCGUGAUUAUGACGAGACUUUCGCUCCUGUGGCCCACAUGACCACUGUCCGCACUCUCCUUGUUGUGGCUUCUGUUCGUCAUUGGCCUGUGUCUCAGCUUGACGUUCAGAACGCAUUUCUCAACGGUGAGUUGCGUGAGGAGGUCUAUAUGCAGCCCCCUCCGGGGUACUCUGUUCCCGAUGGUAUGGUCUGCCGCCUUCGGUGCUCCCUUUAUGGCCUUAAACAAGCCCCUCGCGCAUGGUUCUCGCGGUUCGCCUCUAUGGUGACUGCCGCUGGCUUCUUGCCUAGUGAUCAUGAUCCAGCGUUGUUUGUCCACACCUCUCCUCGUGGUCGGACUCUUCUCCUUCUAUAUGUGGAUGACAUGAUCAUCACUGGUGAUGAUUCUGAGUAUAUUGCCUCUGUUAAGGCCCGCCUCCGGGAACAAUUCCUGAUGUCUGAUCUUGGUCCUCUUCGCUACUUUCUUGGGAUUGAGAUUUCUUCGACCUGUGAAGGCUUCUUCAUCUCUCAAGAAAAGUAUAUUCAGGAUCUUAUCUCGCGGGCCGCUCUUAGUGAUGAUCGCACAGUUGUGACUCCUAUGAAGCUCAAUGUUCAGCUUCGUGCUACUGAUGGUGAUCCUCUGGCUGAUCCCACACGGUAUCGCCACCUCGUUGGGAGCCUUGUCUAUCUCGCUGUUACUCGUCCUGAUAUAUCCUGUCCUGUUCACAUUCUCAGUCAGUUCGUUUCAGCUCCCACCACUGUCCACUAUGGUCACCUUCUACGUGUUCUACGCUAUCUUCGUGGCACGAUUUCACACCAUCUUUUCUUUCCCCGCUCUAGCUCUCUCCAGCUCCAGGCCUACUCUGAUGCUACAUGGGCUAGUGAUCCUACCGAUCGCCGCUCGCUGUCUGCUUACUGUGUCUUUCUUGGAGGCUCUCUCAUUGCCUGGAAGACAAAGAAACAGACAGCUGUUUCUCGCUCGAGUACGGAGGCUGAGUUGCGAGCGAUGGCUAUGUUGACGGCUGAGGUGAUCUGGUUACGAUGGUUACUCGAGGAUUUUGGUGUUUCUGUUGCUGCACCGACUCCCCUCCUGUCAGAUAGUACAGGUGCUAUCAGCAUUGCGCGUGACCCGGUCAAGCAUGAGCUCACCAAGCACAUCGGCGUGGAUGCCUCCUUUGUCCGUGCGGCUGUGCAAGAUCAAGUUCUUGCUCUUCAUUAUGUGCCUUCUGAGUCACAGUUGGCGGAUUUCUUCACGAAGGCACAGACUCGAGCGCAGCAUGGGUUCUUUCUCUCCAAACUCAGUGUAGUUGAUCCACCAUGA